AUGGGCUGCCUGCUCGCCCUCACCGACGACCUCCUCGCGGAGGUCCUCGCCCGCGUACCAUCUCCGGCGGACCUCGCGCGCGCCUCCUCAUCCUGCGCCUCGCUCCACCGCGUGGCCACCUCCGCGCGGUUCCUCCGCCAGUUCCGCUCCCUCCACGCGCCGCCCCCGCUCGGCGUCUACUUCCCCGACGGCGCCGCCUUCUACCCGGCCCUCCCGCCGAACCCCGCGGCCCCCGCCGCUCGCGCGCUCGCCCUCGCCGCCGACUUCUCCUUCGCCUUCCUCCCGGCCCCCGCGCGCGCCUGGCUCGUGCGCGACCACCGCGACGGCCGCUUCCUCCUCGACCGCGCCGCGCCCGCCGGCUCCACGGCCUUCACCGAAAUCUCCGUCUGCGACCCGCUCUUCCGCCGCCACAUCCCGCUCCCGCCCAUCCCCGCCGACCUCGCCGCCUCCGUCGAGAACCCCUACCUCCAGCGCGGCGGGGACGAGGGGCUGCCGCACUCCCGCAGCAACGAGAUCUUCCUCGCUGCUCCCCGCCGCACUUCCGACAACGACAACAGCUCCUCGCCCCCCUUCGCCGUCAUCUGGAUGGCGUGCUGCCGGGGGAAGCUGGUGGCCUUCUCCUUCUCCUCCGAAUCUCAGCACUGGCACACCCUCUCACCACCCGUGCACCAGGCUCUGAGCAUGCGGAGAGUCAUGGGCGUUCGCCUGGGACAGCGCAACCACGCUCACGGCUGUUUCUACUGGAUGAUCACUCUCACGCGGAGGUGGCUCGUGCUGGACACCCGCAAAAUGGAGUUCUCCAUCCUCGACAUCUCGCCCGUCCUGCUAGGCCGCACCAUGAUGUUCAGCAACCAGAUCACCACCCUCGAGUCGGAACAAGGCAGGACUACCGUCGUGGUCUCGGACCUUUUCCGGACGGAUAAGAGAUGCGUCCUGUACUUCUACACGUUCAUGUCCUUCACUGACCGGUGGCAGCUGCAGCACAAAAUCACAUUGCCUGAGGAAUGGGGGGACCGGUUUCGGGGCAUCAUAGGAGCAUUUGAGCAGCGCUUAUUCAUAAAGCUUGAUCACCCAAAGGAGAACUUGGGAGAUCCGGUUGAGCAGAAUGUCACCUACUUUUGGUUCGACGUCAAAACUAUGGAGGUUGGUAGGUUCACUGAGAUUAGUUCUGCUACCGUCAACGAAGCCUACCUUUACACUGGAUUUGCCCCGUCACUCUCGCUUCCUAGCAUCUGAUGUGGUUCUAUGUUGAUAGGUUUGAUGGAUCUCUUACUGAUACACAAAGUUCUACUGUAUACCGAUUUCUGGAUUCGCGUGCUCCUUGCAGCAGGAGAAGGCAUCCUACUAACGGGAAUUUGACACCAUUGAGUUGCGGCAUGGCAACUGCUAGCUUACCAUCCAGUAACGAUGGCGGAAACAAGAGAAGAGGUAGACAUGAUCGCUGGGACAUUAACCCUACUGGAAGAACUAGAGCUCCAGUACCUCUUGGAAAUCCUCUGUUUCUAUACUAUGGCCCUAGCCCAGCAUGUCUCAUCCACCCAUAGGCUGCUCGGUUUACUGGCUUACGACUUCCCGCGGUAUCAAUGCUUGUGGAUGUGUGCGUGAUGCACAGUAACUCGAGAAUCUCUUCUGCUACUAGCCUGUUAAGUUUUUGCCAGAGGUUAUAAGGUGGAAAGAGGAUGCUGCCUUUUGGUUGUAGAUGGACUGAGAAGUUCUUGCUGUGCCGGGUAAGAUCAUUUGCGAGUAGUGGUGUUUGGAGAAGGGGACAGAAGAGGUUCAGGAUUGACGUUCGGCAUGACUCCAUUAUCCACAGUUCUGAGCUAUCAAUAGGGAAAGUUUUGGUUCCAAUACAGAUCAAUCUUGCUGGAAUAUUCAUUCUGCAUUUUCAGCCUGUGAUCAAGAACUACUUAAACAGUUGAAACCGAAGUGUGGUUCAACUUUCUUGGGCAUCCUAAAGAUCGUGCUAAGAUUUUGCUGAACAUAAGCUUGCAAGAUAAAUGAGCCAUUUGGAUCGUAUAAUUUUUCUGAAUUAAUUCAUUUUGAGCGGAAGGUGCAUUCCUACAAUCCUACACUAGGUGGCAUAAAGAAAAUUUGGGUUCCAGCGACUGCUGAAAAUGUUUCUAUUUUGCGAUUGCUGAAGAUGUGGAGGGGAAGAUAGGUGGCCAUAUAGAUGAUAAGGACGUGAUUUAAGAUGGAUGAACAGCCAGGCUCCUUGGCUACUACGGUCAAGCACUUAUUUUAGCAGCUUGCUUGGUUGGGAGGAACAGGGUUUUUUGAAAGGAGGUGGCAAAAUCUGCGUCGAUGUUGCUUGCGAGGGAAAAAAAUCUAUGUUAAUCCUUUACAGGUUGACCAAAUGCAGCUUAAGUACUUCGUACUAAUUUGUAUGAUCUGCUACUAUGUACUUUGUACUAAUCUCUAGCUCUUGCAAUUUGCGAAUCAGAACGAGAGAGAAGAAGUCUGCUCACCAGGCACAGCGCUCUGAUGACCUUGUCGCUGUACGCCUCCGGGUCCGACGCCUGCAUGUCCAGCAGGUCGCCGACCAUCGUCCUGC